AGUCCCCUUGAUGAUGUUUUUACAACCUGGUUUCAUGGUCUUGGACUUUCAGGAUGGCUUUUGGCUUUAGUUAAAAUGCUUUGUUAUUUUGGUAUUGUUUU